ACCAGUUAUAGCUCUUCUAGAAUUUAUCUAGCAGGUCUCCUGGAUUUUACAGGAAAACCCCA
ensembl:snRNA U7 U7 small nuclear RNA